AGCGCUGCUCGUCUGAACCGGGCCCUCAUAGGGUGACUGACGCAGCAACACAGCACUUGCGGUGUGUGAAAACAGUGCAUCCAUACUGAUGAAAGAGGAAUUUCCCUCUCGCAAGAAAGCAGUCAGAGCCCCCAGACAAAGUGGCACAUCAUUGGCAGAGCGGAGAGAGGGGGUAGCUCCCCGAGAACACCCUUGAAGCCUAGCCAGCCCAGAGCCCGCGGUGGCACCGUCAAUACUUUGGAAAACACAAAACUCGGGCAGAUUCAGGAGACCUCCAGGCCCCCCCGAGAGGAUUAGUUGUGCCGUCACCUGACGCUAAGGUUCCUCACGCACCACUUGAUAAAUACGGUGCAUUGGUUCAUAUUGUCAUCAAUGAAGCAACCAUUAACCAGAGGAUGUUUACUGAGGAACACACUUGUCACGUGAUCCUGGGGCACCAUCAGGUGCGACCCCACAAAGGAUAAUGUGGAGGUGCUGAAGUUCCCUGAGAUAAAGCAAAAAAGGAACAGAAAGGACAAGAGAACUGGAAAAUGUAUUCAGAACAGUGUCAGCAUCAGCGAGGCCACGGGUCGGUUUCAGGAAGGGCUGAUCUUUAGCUCCUGUCACCUACUGUGGCCAGUUGGAUUUGCUCUCUGUCCUGCUAACAGAGCACAUGGACACCAAGCAAGGGAUCUGCUGCGGCAGGUGGCCAGAGCCCCAGGCCGUCCUCUAGACUGCUGACAUGUGUGGUUUGAACUCCUUUGCCCAAACACAGACUAAAUGAUAAAAUACAUAUCAGUGUGGGCUACC
ensembl:lncRNA